AUAAUCAUCUUCCUUGUUCAGCAGAGGAGCCUGGUCCCAUUUUCCCCACUUUGUGAUGGGCUUCUCUCAGCGGUAGCUCAGCAGUUCCAGAUGGCAGUUUGGACCAGCAUCUAGGCUGGCCAGUUCGCUGUGUUUACUUAGAACCAACACGUUCAGAGCUGGCCUGGACCAUCUGAGGGGAACAGGAAACACCCCUAGGCUGUGGAAGCAAGUGCAGACCCCCACCCCCGGCCCUGAAGCCAAGGGGGCAGGGUUUGGGAGUGGCCAAAGAGAAGCAGUGCAGGGAUGGGUUUUCCUAGGGACAGGCUUAGCAUUCCUGACUCUAGGAAGAAGGAGCAGUGAGGCGGAGAAACAGUGGAGGGGAUGGUGGCAUUGGGCCCCAUGGGGCCGAGAUGGACACAGGGCUCGUUCUCUUGAGUCUGGUGCCAAGGACAGCUGAAGACGACAUCAUUUUCAGGUGGAGAGGAGAGAGUGGAGGGAGAUCAUGCCCUGUGAUGUGUCUUUUGCAGGUGAAGGUGGGAGACAAGGUCUCUGCUGACGAUGAGGCAGAGCCACCGUGAAAGUUGUAAUAGGAGGACUGCCCGCCGCUGGAAGGGCCUGCAGUGACGCUAGGACACCCUCUGCCUGCAUGUCACGUUAGCUGGGCUGGGCGAAGUAGAAGACCAAGGGGAAGAGGUGCAGUGGGGAGACCAGAUGCUCUCCCUUGAAUCGACUGGAAACAUGACACCGGUUCCAUGCUCUGGAACUGUCACCUGUGAUGUGCUGGGCUGUGUCCCAAGCACAGGAAUCCCAGCAGUUUCAGCUCGAUGCAGAACCACCAUGCUCCAGACACAGGCUUGGGAAAGACACGUCAAAAUUAAAAUACUAGGUAAGAGAAGCACCUGAUUGGGUAGAAGUUGGAGAGGAAUCCUGGAAUUUUGUGGCCAGAAGGAGCCACUGCCCCUUUUGUUUAGUAAGACUAGACAGUAACAGAAGCCAGUUGUCAGCUAUGAAAGUGGUGGGUGAAGCAGGGGAGGCUCCUCUAUGGUGGGACCCUGGACAAGGGAAGCCGAAUGUGUGAAGAAGGGGUGCGGGGGUGUGCGGUGCCCUAGGACACUAGGGCAAAGGUUUCAAACCUGGAACAAGGCACUGGAGGAAGAUCUGCUGCCAGUCAGCAGUGCGGGCCCUCGAGUUAGCAGUCCGUGCGCAGAGGGGCCAGUUCUGAGACCAGUUUGGAGAGUCAGGCAGUGACCCAUUGGCCAUGUCAUAAUUCCUUCAGCCUGCCUCCUCUUUAAUCCCAGAGAGUGCUCUUUCUUCAUACUUCCUUUAAAAUACUAAAUUGUUCCCAUUCCAUGGGGAGCUGGCUAGGCUUUACAGGCUAGGAAAUGUAGGUUUUCUGAGAUGGAACCAUCUACACAAGGAGGAGGAAGGCACUAAGACUAC
rnacentral:lncRNA from 1 species